UAUCGAUAAGUAUCGAUAAGUUUCCCAUCACUAAGCAGCGGACGCAGAUAUGGAGGAAUACAGCAAGUGGCUACGUUUCGUUCUCGUGUAUUAAUUUGAAAAAAAUUGUUGGAAGUAUAUUACGUUACGGAUACUACUAGUUAACUGCUAUGGCUGCCAUUCUAGUCGGCUUGAAGAGUGAUUCUUCGAAGCUAUCAUAUUUCAGAAUGUGCUUCGCUGCUUAAUUCUUUACAAAAUGUCUGCUACAAGGUGGGUCGCAAACGGCCUCAGCCUUAUGAGCCUCACAGUAGCGAACAGCUACGGCCAACAGUUAAAUGUCUGCAUCCGUUAUUUAAUUAAAUUGGUUAUUUAAUCUGAAGCACUGUCUGGUAAAAAAAUCUCGAAAAUGUCUGCUGUUCAUGGGUUGAAUGCUGCAAAUCCAGGAUGCCUUUCCUGUAACCGGUGGAUUGCUACCAAGCAUCGACCCGCACCAACUGCCGGUCCGUUGUAAGCUUCCCAAGAUAGAGGCUCAUCAUGGGACAUCAGCCACUAAUCACUGAAAUUUCGCCACGUAACUCGUCCCGGUAGCAAGCAUGCCAUUAUAGGCACAUACCGUCUUGUAAGUUUUGUCUGUGAAAUCUUGAGCCUGUUCUUAUCUUUAGCGACCCUAACGGGAAAUGUGUCUUCCGCUGCUUUGGCUUCGCAAAAUACAGGCGUUUCAUGCUACGGCUCUAAGUCUGCUUACUAUCUCUAUUGAAUACUACUGUAAAACAAAACGAUUAACAAUGUUUUGAACUGUCUGCAGAUACUACGUAUUUCAGUUGUUACUUAUAAUCAUCAUCAGUUAUAUAAAUCUCUUACUAUGUCUACUAUCAAACUCAAAAGUGAACGAUGAUUUACACGUCUACAAAUACGUAUUUCGACUCCGAUUUGUACUCUAUGCAUAUAUGUUAUUUAAAUUGUCUUGCUUUAUUUGUACAAUUGUGUAUUAGGCUUAUUGCUUUGCGUCUAUGAAUAGUAAUUUUUUGACAAUGUAAAAUGUAGAUUUUACAAAGGAAAUAUUAGGAAGUAUGUUAAGAUAUGAGCAGUUUAUAACACUGUUAAGUAAUCCUAUGGAAAGUAUAUUCUUGUUAUUACUUUACUUUUGACAAUUAGAUAGCAGUAUAUAGCAAUUUAAAUGACUCGAAAAAUGCUGAACGAGGUUUCGUGUUCCACGAGAUGAGGUGAUCUCGCACAGAUUUUCUUUGAAUUCUUUUUUGAAAAAUCUAUAUUGAGCGUCUUAGCAGAGUGAUUUGAGAAAUCAGGAGAAAGAAUUAUAAGUUUCCGUUAGACUCUACUAGAAAUUUGGGAAGUGCAUAUUGAAUUUAGUCCGUACAAAUGCGUAAUUCGACUGCGACAAACAGUCAUCGUCAGUGCUUAUACGUAUUUCGGUUGCUACAUACAACCAUCAUCAGUGCUUAUGUGGACUGGUGGGAUUUCUUCUUAAGGUUUUUUAUGUGACAUGUAAAUGAAAAAAAGUCUAGGCAUUUUUUAUGAAAAAUAGAUAUGUUUUUAUUGUUUUCACAAA